AGGGAUAACGAGAAAGCAUAGUUC
rnacentral:siRNA from 1 species